rnacentral:rRNA from 1 species
UGAGACACGGACCAGACUUCUUACGGAGGCAGCAGUAGGGAUAUGGUCAAUGGAGGGACUCUGAACCAGCCAUGCCGCGUGCAGGAUGACUGCCCUAUGGGUUGUAAACUGCUUUUGUCAGGGAAUAAACCUUUCUACGUGUAGGAAGCUGAAUGUACCUGAAGAAUAAGGAUCGGCUAACUCCGUGCCAGCAGCCGCGGUAAUACGGAGGAUCCAAGCGUUAUCCGGAUUUAUUGGGUUUAAAGGGUGCGUAGGCGGCUUUUUAAGUCAGUGGUGAAAGACGGCGGCUCAACCAUCGCAGUGCCCCUUGAUACUGAAGAGCUUGAAUGAACUAGAGGUAGGCGGAAUGUGACAAGUAGCGGUGAAAUGCAUAGAUAUGUCACAGAACACCGAUUGCGAAGGCAGCUUACUAUGGUUAAAUUGACGCUGAUGCACGAAAGCGUGGGGAUCAAACAGGAUUAGAUACCCUGGUAGUCCACGCCCUAAACGAUGAAUACUCGCUGUUAGCGAUACACAGUUAGCGGCUAAGCGAAAGCGUUAAGUAUUCCACCUGGGGAGUACGGUCGCAAGAUUGAAACUCAAAGGAAUUGACGGGGGCCCGCACAAGCGGAGGAGCAUGUGGUUUAAUUCGAUGAUACGCGAGGAACCUUACCCGGGCUUGAAAGUUAGUGAAUCAUUUAGAGAUAGAUGAGUCCGCAAGGACACGAAACUAGGUGCUGCAUGGCUGUCGUCAGCUCGUGCCGUGAGGUGUUGGGUUAAGUCCCGCAACGAGCGCAACCCCUAUGUUUAGUUGCCAGCACGUUAAGGUGGGGACUCUAAACAGACUGCCUGUGCAAACAGCGAGGAAGGAGGGGACGACGUCAAGUCAUCAUGGCCCUUACGUCCGGGGCUACACACGUGCUACAAUGGAUGGUACAGCGGGCAGCAAGCUGGUAACAGCAAGCAAAUCUCCAAAAGCCAUUCACAGUUCGGAUUGAGGUCUGCAACUCGACCUCUUGAAGUUGGAUUCGCUAGUAAUCGUGUAUCAGCAAUGACGCGGUGAAUACGUUCCCGGGCCUUGUACACACCGCCCGUCAAGCCAUGGAAGUUGGGGGUACCUAAAGUAUGUAACCGCAAGGAGCG